AUUGAACGCUGGCGGCAUGCCUUACACAUGCAAGUCGAACAGCAGCACGGGUGCUUGCACCUGGUGGCGAGUGGCGAACGGGUGAGUAAUACAUCGGAACAUGUCCUGUAGUGGGGGAUAGCCCGGCGAAAGCCGGAUUAAUACCGCAUACGAUCUACGGAUGAAAGCGGGGGACCUUCGGGCCUCGCGCUAUAGGGUUGGCCGAUGGCUGAUUAGCUAGUUGGUGGGGUAAAGGCCUACCAAGGCGACGAUCAGUAGCUGGUCUGAGAGGAGGACCAGCCACACUGGAACUGAGACACGGCCCAGACUCCUACGGGAGGCAGCAGUGGGGAAUUUUGGACAAUGGGCGAAAGCCUGAUCCAGCAAUGCCGCGUGUGUGAAGAAGGCCUUCGGGUUGUAAAGCACUUUUGUCCGGAAAGAAAUCCUUGGCCCUAAUACGGUCGGGGGAUGACGGUACCGGAAGAAUAAGCACCGGCUAACUACGUG
rnacentral:rRNA from 1 species